GACGAACGCUGGCGGCGUGCUUAACACAUGCAAGUCGAGCGGUAAGGCCCUUUCGGGGGUACACGAGCGGCGAACGGGUGAGUAACACGUGGGUGACCUGCCCUCAGCUCUGGGAUAAGCCUGGGAAACCGGGUCUAAUACUGGAUAUGACUCCAUGACGCAUGUUGGUGGGGUGGAAAGCCUUGUGCGGCUGAGGAUGGGCCCGCGGCCUAUCAGCUUGUUGGUGGGGUGANGGCCUACCAAGGCGACGACGGGUAGCCGGCCUGAGAGGGCGACCGGCCACACUGGGACUGAGACACGGCCCAGACUCCUACGGGAGGCAGCGAGUGGGGGAAUCUUGCGCAAUGGGCGAAAGCCUGACGCAGCGACGCCGCGUGAGGGAUGACGG
rnacentral:rRNA from 1 species